GUAAUCUUCUGGAUCUUGUAUUUAUUCUUGUUUUAGGGAAGCUGCUGGAAGACAGAUGACUUCAUUUCCAGUUAUUUCUAAUGUUGUGUACAAAAUAUUUCAUUUGCAAUUUUUAGCCUUUCUCUUUUUAUGGAUAUAAAUGUAUAUAUGUCAAUGAUUGUAAUUUCAAAGUUAGAGAAUGGACAAUAAUAGUUAUAUAAAUAUGGUUUUACAGUGCAGUUUGAGAGGAAGCAGGCACUAAAAUCCCUGCUCAGGCCACUCACCAGCCAUGUCCAAGAGAAUCAAUCUAACUUCUCUGUGGCUAAGAUUCCUUAUCAAGAAAGUGGAAAUAAUACUGAUUUCUACUUUAUAGUCUUGCUGUCAAAGAUUAAGUGAGUUGCAUAGAAAGUGCUUAGAACAAUGGUGAGUGUAUUGCAAGAACUAUAUAAAUGUUUGUUGUUUAUGGGGGAAGGAUCAUGAAGGGGUCCCCAUGGUGUCUAAUAAUAGCCCUUCAAGAAUGUGUUUCUAUUUUUCAGCACACAAAAUAUUAGGAAUUCAAUUCAUAAAAAUUGAAGUCUCCUACCUUCUGUCACCAGGUCAGCUGAUGUUCAGUGGAGCUAGACGGGGGGAAUGUUGGCUUACCUGCCACACAAUAGGGGAUUCUUUUCAGCAAUGACCAAACUCACAGGUGACUUUCCCAACCGGAAAUAUUAGGGAAUCAUGUUCCCUCCAUUCCUACAUGUGAGCAGAGCUCAGGGCACAGAUCUGGCAGCAGAGAAGUGUCAGGCUCAGAGCCCUCAGAGAGGAACAGGAAACUGUGGAUGUACACACAGAGAGAGAGAGAGAGAGAGAGAGAGAAGUCAUUUUCUGGGACAUGAGAAUUUUUCUUUGGCAUGCAUUCAGAAGAGCACUUUGGAGGAGAAUUUGAAGAUCAUUUACCAUGGUAGACAAUGACUUGGAUAUUGAAAUGUGAACUUUUGAGAUAUUACAGAUAAAAUCUGAGGAUUCUCAACCCUGAUGUUGGAAAGCGUCCGACCCCCAUGGACAAUGGAAUAAGCACAAUGCAAGGGACCCAGAAAAUGGCCCACAGAUGAGUACCACGAGGAGGAGGCCAUAUGUAAACCAGGAAGAGGACCCUCAGCAGAACCUGGCCAUGCUGACUAUGUAAUGGCAGUCAGAACUGACUAGUAUCCAAAGUUUCACCGAAGUACCUCAUGCGAUGUUGCUACAUCUGUUCUUAACUUAAUGGCAGUCCCCAGAGAGCUAAAGGGUUGCUAGGGAAAGCAAGACUACACAACAGCCUUGACUACAGAGACAGCAUCUGGGUAUGCGUGGAAGAUGGAACGAACCUGCUUCAGACUACCUGGGACACUGCUGUGACUCACAUAUGUCAUAUUAAAACUCAUUAUCUGUACCUGUUUUCCUG
rnacentral:lncRNA from 1 species